rnacentral:lncRNA from 1 species
AAAUGUACGUCAAUGGCGAUUGGCGAGUCCCUUAUAUUCGUGAUUUCGUUGCUCCUCUCUUUCUCUAUCCAGAUCAUACGAGCGCCAAUAGCUUGCUGAUCAGGUUAUACAUUUAUGUAUGUAUAUAUUAUAUUUGUGCUAGGAAGCUCAGUUUGGGACUAUGUUCUGCUGGUAUGUUUUUUCAGAUCUGAAUAUUUGUAAUCCCAUUGCUGAGAUAAGUUCCUCGCUUAAUUUGUUCAUCACUGUCGUGUUAGUAGAACAAUGGAAAAAAUUCAAUCUUUAUAAUUCAAUGCUUUGUUAAUCGGUUCUUUGGGGUGUAAUUAAUGGUGGGUCUCGGAUUAAAUUGGUGGAGGGUCACUGGAGGCAGCGGUUCAUCGAUCCGUUCUCUGAACUGGUAAUCCUCGAUAAAUUACAGAACAGGAAUUGGUCGAUAAACCUCUGCAUCCAGUGCUCAUCCCCACUUUCUCUCUGUGUCUAUAUAUACUCCAUUUGUUCCAGAAAAAAGGUCGGUCGUAUCUGCAAAAAUUACAAACUUUAAAGGCUUUUGUUCGACGUCUACUUCUAUAUCAAGUGUUUAGUUUAUCAGUGAGGGCAGGAUAGCGGAGUUGGGAUGAAUUUUUUUGGAGAAUAUUUUUAUAUUAUCAUUAAUAAAAAGGUGAUGUUUUUAUUUUGAAACAAGAAAUAGGCAAAUUGUGGCAUCAAGGGCGUAUUAUUAUUUUCUUAAUAAAUAUAGACCCGCAAUCAAGAGGGUAUACAUAUAAUCAUAUAUCUAUAUAUCCAUUGAACUAUUAAUAGGGAGUUAUUUUCUGCAAGUCAUAUGGUUAAUUCUACAAUGUAGACUAUGUAGUGAGUGGUUCCAUAUUUAUGCGAGGGACACUUUAUGCUUACAUAGUUUACUAUGAACUUGUUCGUUGUGACAUAGAUUGAUCAGUUCUUCGCCCUUAAUCUUCUUUGUUGUAUUCCUCUAUAUAUCUAGAAAAAAAUUGUCCUUGUUUAUUUUUAUCUAGCACUGUAUCCGAUGAUUCUUUAUGUUAUAUGAACCCAAAAAUUGGAAAACUGAUACUUUUUAUACGGGGUUGAGUGGAAUAGAAAUGUAUGAUAUUGGAAGCAGAUGUACCCAUGUUGUGGUUAAUUUUUAACCAGAGGGAAUUUGUUUUUAGUAUUUUUGUAAUGCAUCUAUAAAGACUUGAAAACGCCUUUUGAUAUCAGUCAAAGUUUCUCAAAUUUUGAAUUAUCCAUUUUUUUGAAUUUUACAUUUAUAAUACACAUGAUAUCAGUUACUGGUUAUUAGUAUUCUUUUUAAUGUUGACUCCUUGAGAAGCAAUGGUGAUGCAGCAUAAAUUUGACUAGAAUAUUAUUGCUCUCUUGCUUCUCCAAGAAAUUCGUCAUUUGAGCUGCUUUUUUGCAAAUUAGUUAGUGUAUUAUGCAGAAUGUAAGACCUUCCCCACUGUCGUCUGUCAAAAUGUGUAUUGUAGAAGUUGAGUUCUAUGCUACCCAGUUGUUAUGUUAUUUUUUGUUAUUGUGGUUGUUAUUGCUGCUGGUGGUCUAAAAUGUGUAUACAUACAUACAUACAUACAUACAUACAUACAUACAUAAAUAUAUAAGUUAAUCUCUGUUUUAGAAACUUGCCAUAUUGGAAGAGUUAUAUGAUGUGUCUGUCAUGAUGGACUUUAUUUGUAUAUAAAUCUGGGGGAAGAAAAAUUACUGAUCCUUUAUUUAUGGGAGGUUAUAAUCACUAUAUGUUCCCGCACCAUAUUAUUGCAGUUAUGUGGGUGGAUGAACAUUACAAACUAUAUCAGUUUUGUAAUAAUAAUGCUAAAAGUCUCAUAAAUUCUUAGUCUUGGAAUAUCAUCUUCUUUGGCUCCGAAAGAAGAGACUUCAAAAGAAAGUUUGGGAAGUGGGAAACUUACCUUCUUUAUUGCUGCAUGAAAGUGAAAUACAUAUAGAAAUGUGAGUACCAAAUUGGAAGAGAAUCUGCUCUGCUCUGCUGAUGUGAUUUCUUUAGAACCUGGGCAUCAAAUUCUACAAGCUUGGCAAAGGUAUUUAGUCAAGAACAAGUUAUUCUGUAGACUGUAAACGUAUAUGGACACUAAUCAAAAUAUAACAAUGUAUCUGUGCAUAAAAAUAGAUGGAUAGAUGAAUUCUUUGCUUUACACAAUCAGAAUCUGAGUUUUUUUUUUUAAUGAGUUAUGAAUUUGAUGCUUGAAUACUUGUUCUUUGGUUCUCCUUUCUUGAUUUUAGGAAUAGAAUAUUAUAAACCACUUUUGUCUUGGGAUUCCUGUGUAAUUGUCAUAUUUAUGCUCCCAAAACACAG